rnacentral:rRNA from 1 species
UACGUAGGGUGCGAGCGUUAAUCGGAAUUAUUGGGCGUAAAGCGUGCGCAGGCGGCUCGCCAAGUCCGUUGUGAAAGCCCCGGGCUCAACCUGGGAAUGGCAGUGGAAACUAGGGGACUGGAAUCUGGCAGAGGGGGGUGGAAUGCCGCGUGUAGCAGUGAAAUGCGUAGAGAUGCGGCGGAACACCGAUGGCGAAGGCAGCCCCCUGGGCUGAGAUUGACGCUCAGGCACGAAAGCGUGGGGAGCAAACAGG